rnacentral:rRNA from 1 species
GAUGAACGCUGGCGGCGUGCCUAAUACAUGCAAGUCGAGCGAACAGACGAGGAGCUUGCUCCUUCGACGUUAGCGGCGGACGGGUGAGUAACACGUAGGUAACCUACCUAUAAGACUGGGAUAACUUCGGGAAACCGGAGCUAAUACCGGAUAAUAUUUCGAACCGCAUGGUUCGAUAGUGAAAGAUGGCUUUGCUAUCACUUAUAGAUGGACCUGCGCCGUAUUAGCUAGUUGGUAAGGUAACGGCUUACCAAGGCAACGAUACGUAGCCGACCUGAGAGGGUGAUCGGCCACACUGGAACUGAGACACGGUCCAGACUCCUACGGGAGGCAGCAGUAGGGAAUCUUCCGCAAUGGGCGAAAGCCUGACGGAGCGACGCCGCGUGAGUGAUGAAGGUCUUCGGAUCGUAAAACUCUGUUAUUAGGGAAGAACAAACGUGUAAGUAACUGUGCACGUCUUGACGGUACCUAAUCAGAAAGCCACGGCUAACUACGUG